rnacentral:lncRNA from 1 species
GAGGCACUUACCUAGAAGAUAUGAAGCAGCUAGAAGUCAGGGCUGUUCUGCAUAGUGUACUUUCCUUGAACAGAGGUUAUAGAUAUUAUCUCCCUGCUGUAGUAAAAUGUUUAAUACUCUCCUGGGAAGAUGUCACUUCCAGCUCCUGGCAUAGUGAGGUCUGAAAUAGUUUCCCCUCAACACAUGCCUGUGACAGCCUCUGUGAAGACUUGCUUGGCACUGAAUUAAAAGUCCCUUAUGAAGAUGAUGAUAAAGAGCCACAAGCAAAAGUUUUUCUAAACCACGUACCAGCAAUGUACGAAACAGUGGGAUGUUAGAAGAUCUCCUGGGAAAAUUUCACUCUCCAACUCCUGGCAUGGUGAGGUCAGCAAAGCUUUCCUUCAUCACAUGCGUGUGAGAGCCUGUGUGUAGACUGCUUGGCAUUGCAUUGAAAGUCACUCAUUUAUUUGAGCCUUCUCUCUUUUCUUCUUUGUCUUGUUUGUCAAUUUUGUUUAUCCUGUCAGAGAACCAGCUCCUUGUUUCAUUGAUCCUUUGUACCAUCAUUUUUGUUUCAAUUUCAACUUCUGCUGAGUUUGGGCUUUGUUUGUUCUUGUUUUUCUAAUUCUGUUAUGAGUAGUUUAAAAUGGUUUAUUUGAGCUUUUUCUUAUUUGUUAACAUGGGCCUUAUUGCUAUAAAUUUCCCUCUUAGGAUCACUUUUGCUGUGUCUCAUAAGAGUUGGUAUGGUGUGUUUUCAUUCUUCUUUGUCUCCAAAUAUUUUUUUAUUUCUCUCUUUAUUUCUUUGAUGACCCAUUGGUUCUUCAGUAGCAUGUUGUUUAGUCUCCACAUUCUUGUUCCUUUUUACAGCUUUUUUCUUGUAGUUGAUUUCCAGUUUCAUGGCAUUAUGGUUAGAAAAGAUAGUAGAUAUGAUUUUAAUCUUCUUAAAUUUAUUGAGGUUUGCUUUGUUUCCCAAUAUAUGGUCUAUCCUGAGAAUGUUCCAUGUGUGCUUGAGAAGAAUGUGCAUUCUGCUGUUUUUGGAUGGAGUGCUCUCUAUAUAUCUAUUAAGUUCAUCUGGUCUAGGUUUUCACUGAAGUCCACCAUCUCCUUCU